AGCCAGAGACAACUGAAUUAACUUUAUUCUCUUCUAACUGCAGAUUGAAGGUAUACAACUGAACAUUGCUAUUUUUCUUAUGAGACUUAUAAAUAAAAAUACAAAAAAUGUUCACUACAAAAAAAUCUACUGUUAGUAGGAUGUAAAAAAUAUUCUCUUUGCUAAUAGAAGGCACAGACUUCACUCAGUGACACAUGGAGAGAGAAAAAAACCUGCAGCAGUAAAUUCAUUUUUUUUUUCUUUUUUAAAUCUCGUCAGAAACACUGAAAUUACAAAGAAACGCAUCAAUCUACACAGAACGAAGGCAGAUGCGGAAAAGCUGCGACCAGGACCGCACGGAGUCAGGGGAAGGGCACCAGGGGACAAGAGCAGGGAACCGUCUACACAUCUCCUCCUGCCCCCCUCCAGCCCUUGUGGACAGAGUCCGGAGGCGGCCCCACCACUGCUCACUCCCCUGCAAGGAGGUAAGCCAAAUGGCCCUGUGUCUCCAGGGCCUCCUCACCCCUGCAGCCGGUGGUACCAAGGGCGUCCGGAAGGGUACCAUACACUUGUGAAAAAUUGCAGCAGUUUUGUUUUCUACACACGGAGAAACUGUUCAGGCACAAAGAUUAAACAAGCCCGUAUUUCAUCCCUGGAUUGUACUGAAUCACUGGGGCCCCCAGCCUCCCUCCCCACCCCUGCACCCCAGAUCUACCUUCCCGCUAUCUGUGGCCUCCUCCAAAGCAGCCCAAAGCAGCCAUGAUAUUUACUAUUUUAUAUCUCUCUCUCGCUAUAUAUAUAUAUCUCUAUAUUUGUCUAUCCUAUAUACACAUAGGAUUUUAAUGCUUUGAAUGAAUGAAGGAGUGAACAGGGAAAGAGCACAUGACGGGUAAAUGUCACCAAAAGCAUUAAGGGACACGACUGUAGGAGCUGAACACUAGAAAGGGACCAUUAACCAGCUCGGACUUUCCGGGCUGGAGAAGCUUCGCGAUGCUGGAUAAGGCAGUAGCAGGUGGGGCAAUCAGCAGUUCACAGCUAAAGGCAGCGGCUGGCCAAGGGGCCAGAGGGCAGAAGAGGGAAGUAAGAACACUCAGCUCUCACCUGGGGAGACACCACCCUCCCCCCUCCCUCAUCUCCCCAGCCCCCCUUAUCCAGACCCAUCUAAAGACGCCACAUACUUUUUGACCUUCACCUUGGCCAUUAGGCCUGGCAAAGGCGGCCUUGGCAAGGUCCGAAUGGUUUUGUCUUUGUGAGGAGGAACCCGGGAGAGAGGCACGCGGGGCUCCGCAGGGCAUCGAGCUCCACGGGGGGAGGAAGGGCAAGCAGGACCAGCACAGGUGUCUCCCACCCGGUAUCCUUCAGCCGCCGCCGCCCUGACCCUCGGGCCUUACUUCCGCGCCAGGGCCCCUGGCGGACGGUGGGGGCAGACAGGUGGUCAUUUAGUACCGUCCAAGGCUGCAACACCAGAUCACAACAACACUGCAUGGUGUAACACACAGCCACACACAAAACACACGCACGCGCACAAAGGGAUAUUUUGGUGGUGGUGGUGGUGGAUUUUUUUUUUGUCUUUUUUUUUUUCCUAUUCACAUUACAAAAGGAAAGGGCAAGGUCCUGUAGAACUGACGGAUAACUAACAAACAUUACAAAAAUAUUACAAUUUGUAAAUAUUAGCUCAACCCUCUCAGCUUUUAUGAAUAGGGCAGGAGACCCAGGCUGCGGGGGAAGGGGGGGAGUGAGAGGUGUCAGCUAGGUCUAUGGAA
ensembl:lncRNA